rnacentral:misc_RNA from 1 species
GAUGAAGAACGUAGCGAAAUGCGAUAACUAAUGUGAAUUGCAGAAUUCAGUGAAUCAUCGAGUCUUUGAACGCACAUUGCGCCCCCUGGUAUUCCGGGGGGCAUGCCUGUCCGAGCGUCAUUGCUGCCCUCAAGCACGGCUUGUGUGUUGGGCUCCGUCCCCCCGGGGACGGGCCCGAAAGGCAGCGGCGGCACCGAGUCCGGUCCUCGAGCGUAUGGGGCUUUGUCACCCGCUCUGUAGGCCCGGCCGGCGCCAGCCGACAACCCAUCAUCCUUUUCAGGUUGACCUCGGAUCAGGUAGGGAUACCCGCUGAACUUAAGCAUAUCAAUAAGCGGAGGAA